CAUAAAGCCACGUCCCAUUAGCAACAAUUCUCUCUGAGGUUUAAAUAGGCAAGAUGUGAGACUCCAUCUGUUCAUGACAAACACAUGCUAUGACUGGAAGUUGAAGAUGAGAAACUGAAUGGACACAUUGGUUUGAAUGUUUUACCAACAGCAUGGAAUAGUUCUUGAACUGAGUUUUGAACUGUGGCCUCAGGCAGGUAGUUCAAGUCAAUUAAGACUUGGACAAACAGACUGAAGAACAGUUUAUAAUGUUCAUAAAUGCACAACAUGCUGGUUAAAGGAACCAUGUAUGAUAUGCCACAACAUUUCUGCAACCACUUUUGUUUAUUUUAUUUAAUUAGCUCAACAGUCUUCUUACAAAUGUAUUUUAAUUUAAUUUUACGUCCUAAUAUUUGACAUAAUAACAUAGGUGACUUUAACAUUAUUUUAUUUUUCAUAUGUAAGAUUAAAAGAAAGUGUAAAAGUUAGCAGCACGCAAGUGGAACUGUUGGCACGGGAACAGUUGUGCCCAUUGUUGUUGCAGGGGUACAGUUUCGCCCGGAGCCCAGGUGCAAUCUGAAUGACGAACACGGCUGCUGAACUCUAUUUUACAGAUGAGGCCAACAGAGCUGCGGCCUGCCUGCUGUCCCCACGCAUCUGACUGUCGAGUGGGAUAAUAUGAUCCCCCGACCUUCGUAUCAUAAGUGACGCUGGAGCAGGUCUGAAAAUGUAAUUACACCUGGUGGAGACACGCUGCCACUGGAGUAAUACGAUGACUCAUCAAGAGACACGCUGCUACCAGCUCACCGAUGACAUCAUCGCCAUCACCUUCACUAUUAUCAUCUGGUCCUGAGCUCGAGCUGCUACAUCACCUUCACCACCACCAUCAUCAUCAUCACCUUUUCCUCCCUGUGCUCCUGUACUGCAGCUGUAACACAGCACAUCCAUGAUGCUGCUGCUGCUGCUGCUGAGAGGAAGGAAGGAAGGAAGGAGACUCCGAGGGAACCUCCACAGCCUGACACAUGCAGCUCGAACCGGAGAGGAGAUCCGAACCUUUCCCUCUCUCACUCUCUGUUAAACAUGCCUCACUCUCUCAAUGACCGCAGUCUCUAUCUCAUUACAGCGGAUUAAAGCCUGGACAUGAAUGGACGUCGCUGCAGCAGCAGCUUUAGUCAAGUGAACUCUCACACUGAGGGUCAAACCAGGCUCAUGAUUAAAACGCUACACACUGUACCCACACACUGUGUAUCACAAUGACCGGUGCGGAUGCAGGGGAACGCGUUUCCAGGCAUGCAUGCGCUGUAUCGCCAAGAAGACGACCACAUCCUGGAAAUGUUCAGACUCGCACACGCGGAAUGAACCAGUCGUGUCGGCAUCCGUUACGCAAGCCCGGUGUUCUAAUCACAACUAAGUGCACACAAGCAAAAAAUGUAAUUGGCAUCUGGAUGGAGGUAUUCCUUUGCGCCUCGGUGCAGCAUCGCGCGUAAAAACGGGGAACAAUAAAACCCUACUCACGGAUGGAAUGGAAUCACACAGAACAGAAUUGCAGAUGAGGUUUUGCAUACCUUCAUUGCACCUCCCGUUC